AUAAAAAAAAGCCUGCAGAUAAAUCUGCAGGCCCUUUUUGUUCUCUGAUUAGAAAACAAAAAGGCAAAGGGAGAGGAGAAACCGGAAGAAGAACUUAUGGGGAAACGUAAGCCUUCUCCGUGU
rfam:Sediminibacillus halophilus strain CGMCC 1.6199 genome assembly, contig: Ga0079860_101